rnacentral:lncRNA from 1 species
UCCCAUGCCACAACAGCAAAAGGCAAAAGGCACUGGGACAUGAGAUCUUAAACUGAACAGUGGAGAGAGAGUUAAUAUGUGGCAAUGGAAACAGUCAUGAGAGCUUCUGAGGCCAUUCCCUCUUUGCAGACAGACCUGCUGUGAUUUGACCAUGAUGUCAUCUUCUGAGUAAACUAUUCCUCAUGUAAUGCAAGAUCUGGGACCUCUGGGAAGGAUGUUCUAUUAGUCCAAACAUAGUUCCCUGAAAUGCAUGCACUCCACUGAAGAACAACCCUGUCUGAGCGUCAGGGAGACAGACAUGGGAAUCAAAGUGGCCACAAGUUUUUGGGCAGCUAUAAAUUACCUGGUCUUGAAUGAAGCAUGUCAUCUCCCAGUGUCUGCUUUCUCAUCAUCAAACAAACAAAAUACCUCAAGACAACGUCUGUUCACCACAGUGCCUGCAUCCUCCCUGCUUAGCCCAUAGCUUGGCUCCGACCCUUGGCGUUUCUGGUGACUAGCACUGGCCAUAGGGCUCACUAUCAGAGAAUAAAUGUGAUGAGAAGUGACAUGUGGCUGAAUUCAUUAUUUGUCUGCUGCUGUGAUAAAGCACCAUUACCAAAAGCAGCUUGGGAAAGAAAGAAUGUAUUGUGAGUCAUGCUUCUAGAGGGAUACGAGUACACUAUGGUGGGGAGACAUGACAGCAGACAGUAGGCAUUUGCUCCAGUGGAAAUCUGAGCAUCCAUCUCUUCAAUUGUGAACACAAGCAGAGAGAGUGAGCUAGAAGGAGAGUGAAACUAUG